CCAAUAGCGUAUAUUAAAGUUGUUGUGGUUAAAAAGCUCGUAGUUGAACCUUGGGCCUGGCUGGCCGGUCCGCCUCACCGCGUGUACUGGUCCGGCCGGGCCUUUCCCUCUGUGGAACCUCAUGCCCUUCACUGGGUGUGACGGGGAAGCAGGACUUUUACUGUGAAAAAAUUAGAGUGCUCCAAGCAGGCCUAUGCUCGAAUACAUUAGCAUGGAAUAAUAAAAUAGGACGUGCGGUUCUAUUUUGUUGGUUUCUAGGACCGCCGUAAUGAUUAAUAGGGACAGUCGGGUGCAUCAGUAUUCAAUUGUCAGAGGUGAAAUUCUUGGAUUUAUUGAAGACUAACUACUGCGAAAGCAUUUGCCAAGGAUGUUUUCAUUAAUCAAGAACGAAAGUUAGGGGAUCGAAGACGAUCAGAUACCGUCGUAGUCUUAACCAUAAACUAUGCCGACUAGGAAUCAGACGAUGUUAAUUUUUUAAUGACUCGUUUGGCACCUUACG
rnacentral:misc_RNA from 1 species